AAACUAUGUACAAUGUAAUCAGCCACAAAGAUAGUGAAAUUUUGAGCAACUCCAUGGACGUAGAUCAUUUAGUGAUCGAAUCAUGUAUAUUCGGUGUCGUUUAUGACUUUUAUCUAUUUUCUAGUAUAAGAAUUAUUUCGAAUCUCAUCAACUGGUGCCGUCCGUGGGAAAUUGAGCUAAGACGUGAGGUUCUUUUCUGGCAAAGUUUUCCGGCGAGUUCGUCAAUUUCAUGCACUUGGCGAAGAAUACUACAACAAUUCCCGAUCAUACCCCAAAUGUCUUUUUUUUGGCUGAAUCAGUUUAUGGUAGUUUCAAAAUCUGAAAUCCUCAAUCCAGGAAAAAGGCCCCAAUUCGAAAACAUUAUCUGAUCCCUAAUCCUAAAUCACAAUUUCGAUGCUAGCACAAACUCCGGUGAAUCUUUUUUAGUUUUCCAGUCUCUGUGGGGAAUGGCUGGCAACUUUCCACCAUCUCCGGUGAGAAAUUGGGUAUACCAAGAUCCCAAUCGAAAGUAUCUGGUGGUCAGAACAAAAAUAUCGAUCCAAAUCAAGGAAAAUCUCCAUUCUCUCAAAUAUCGAUCUGUCUGAAUCUGGACAAAGCGUCCCCGUUCACGCCUCCGAGAAAGCACAGAACCGGGCACACUGUCGUCUGUCCCCGCUUCAUCUCGUACGAGCCGCGACCAGAGCUACGGACAACUCGUCUUCUCAAGUCCGAUUUCUUCAAUUUAGGGCAAAGCUCGGUCCUAAACUGCAUUCCAGCGAUGCCCAAUUUUACAAAGCUAAGUUGAAAAUUGAAGUGUAACUCAGGCUCAGCGAACCCCUGUUCGGCACGCGACGCCAAACAGCUUUUUCUUGUCAUCGUCCCACGAUGCCCCUCCAGCUAUCUCUCAGCUGCAGAGCAGCGCCUUGGCGGCGUAGGAGGCCACCGACAUGGCCGUCGCCGGCCUAGUUAUUGACACAGGCUGCAUCAAAAACGCCCGUCGUCGCGGCGAGCUCAUUCUAUUUUUGCUCUCAGUUUCUCAAAUACAAACAUAUUUCCAUAAUUUUCUCCCUCGAUUGGAGAGUUCUAAUUUCCUUUUUGUUGUGGAUUAAAAGAUGCAGGUAUAGAACCCUGAAUUUGCACGAAAUCUGGCGACGAACCAGAACCACGAUCUCUGCUCGAAUCGGCUUGAAUGAGUUCGAAUCAGACCUGAUGUGGGCAUGAUAUGUAGCAUGAUAGUCCUAAAUCUUGGCUAUUGAGGACGAUUGCAAGAGAAGACGAUUUCCUUCAACCCGAGCAUCGAUAGCAAAAAAACAAUGCUGUCAAGAAACCUCAGCGCUGAAAAAGAUGACCUAUUGGUUAACUUUACUAUUGGGUAGAAUGAUAAUUUAAUUGUUGAAAUAGGACAUUGGAAGAUCUCCACAUCGCCGGCUCUAUCGGGUAUGCGGCCAGUUGUAACUAACGUUAACCAAGCUCUGGACUUCCAGCCCAGAAUUGAGAAAACAUAGGGGAUAGGAGGCGCUGAUUCUUCGCUCUGAAGGUGCCACUAACGUAGUUGGCAAAGACUCGGGUCAAGAAUGAACAUUGCGGAGCUAAGUUUCCCAUCCCUUUUCGUUUUGUCAAUUUUUUGUGAAUCAAUCAUGUUUGGGAGUCACUUGCCAUGUUUAGUUUGAACUGGAAUGUUACAUAUGUUUGGUUAAUCUAUGACUGAUUUAUUCUAA